UAGCUACGGCGAGUGAAGUGGGAAAAGCUCAAAUUUUAAAUCACUAAGGUUUCACUUUAGUGAGUUGUAAUUUGAAGAAAGUGUUUUGAUAUCCGGGUUUGAUCUAAAUCCUUUGGGAUAAGGUAUCAUAGAGGGUGAGAAUCCCGUUCAUGAUUUAAUCUUGGGUGUCACAUAAUUCACUUUCUAAGAGUCGAGUUGUUUGGGAUUGCAGCUCAAAAUGGGUGGUAAAUUUCACCUAAGGCUAAAUAUGUGCAAGAGACCGAUAGCGAACAAGUACCGUGAGGGAAAGAUGAAAAGAACUUUGAAAAGAGAGUUAAAUAGUACGUGAAAUUGUUGAAAGGGAAACGAUUAAAGUCAGUCAUGCUAGUAGGGAAUCAACUUGAUGGAUCGUGAGAUUUAUCUUGUGAUCUAUCUUGUGUACUUCCUUGCUUGGCAGGUUAGCAUCAAUUUUGGUUAUCAUUAAAAAAUUGAGGGAAUGUAGCUUUUCUUCGGAAAAGUGUUUAUAGACCUUGAUAUAUGUGGUGACCGGGAUUGAGGAUUGCAGCGGAUACCUUUUAAGGCUAGUCACCUGGCAUCUGACGGUUACCCCGCUUUCGAUAGCUUGCUAACGAUUGUGGGAUUAAACAGUCGAGAUGUUGGAGUGAACAUAAAUUCGCUAAGGAU
rnacentral:rRNA from 1 species